UCUUUAUAACUUGUAGUGAUAAAAAUUCGUUCAAUUUUUCGUGUAACCUUUAAACUCACCACAGAAAUUUUGCAUCUCUGAGCAUCUAGUACAAUUUGGAUCCGCCAUUUUAUGUUUGUUUACGUACUUUUGCCUGUAACGGCACG